rnacentral:rRNA from 1 species
UACAUGGGGUGCAAACGUUGCUCGGAAUUAUUGGGCGUAAAGCGCGCGUAGGCGGUUACUCAAGUCGGAUGUGAAAGCCCUCGGCUUAACUGAGGAAGUGCACCCGAAACUGAGUAGCUAGAGUACUAAAGAGGGUCGCGGAAUUCCCGGUGUAGAGGUGAAAUUCGUAGAUAUCUGGAGGAAUACCGGUGGCGAAGGCGGCAUCCUGGACCGGCAUUGACGCUGAGUGAGCGAAAGCUAGGGGAGCAAACGGG